rnacentral:rRNA from 1 species
GUGUGCCGGUAGCUUACACAUGCAGUCGUGCGAGAAAGUAUCUUCGGAUAUGAGUAGAGCGGCGGACGGGUGAGUAACGCGUAGGAAUCUACCUAGUAGAAGGGGAUAGUCCGGGGAAACUCGGAUUAAUACCGUAUACCUCCUUUGGGAGAAAGAAGGCCUCUCUUUGAAGCUUUCGCUAUUAGAUGAGCCUGCGUAAGAUUAGCUUGUUGGUGAGGUAAAGGCUCACCAAGGCAACGAUCUUUAGCGGGUCUGAGAGGACGAUCCGCCACAUUGGGACUGAGACACGGCCCAGACUCCUACGGGAGGCAGCAGUGGGGAAUAUUGGACAAUGGGCGCAAGCCUGAUCCAGCCAUACCGCGUGUGUGAAGAAGGCCCUAGGGUUGUAAAGCACUUUAAGUUGGGAAGAAAAGUUAUUGGUUAAUACCCAAUAACCGUGACAUUACCAUCAGAAUAAGGACCGGCUAAUUCCGUGCCAGCAGCCGCGGUAAGACAGAGGAUGCAAGUGUUAUUCGGAUUGAUUGGGCGUAAAGCGUCUGUAGGCGGUUUAGAAAGUCUUUUGUGAAAUACUUCAGCUCAACUGGGGCUCCGCAAAAGAAACU